CCUACGGGGGGCUGCAGUGGGGAAUAUUGGACAAUGGGGGCAACCCUGAUCCAGCCAUGCCGCGUGUGUGAAGAAGGCCCUCGGGUUGUAAAGCACUUUCAGUGAGGAAGAACGCCUGGUGGUUAAUACCCAUCAGGAAAGACAUCACUCACAGAAGAAGCACCGGCUAACUCCGUGCCAGCAGCCGCGGUAAUACGGAGGGUGCGAGCGUUAAUCGGAAUUACUGGGCGUAAAGCGCGCGUAGGUGGCUUGAUAAGCCGGUUGUGAAAGCCCCGGGCUCAACCUGGGAACGGCAUCCGGAACUGUCAAGCUAGAGUGCAGGAGAGGAAGGUAGAAUUCCCGGUGUAGCGGUGAAAUGCGUAGAGAUCGGGAGGAAUACCAGUGGCGAAGGCGGCCUUCUGGACUGACACUGACACUGAGGUGCGAAAGCGUGGGUAGCAAACAGGAUUAGAUACUCUGGUAGUC
rnacentral:rRNA from 1 species